rnacentral:snRNA from 1 species
AGCAGUUCCAGGCCUUUGGCUAAGAUCAAGUAUCUGUUCCUAUCAGUUUAACACCUGUGUCCUUACCUGAGGGAAACACAUUACAUUGAUUUUUGGAACAAGGAGAUGGACUAGGAGCUUGCUCAGUUGGCUUCAGGUGUGACACUGGCAUUGCAGUUCUUCUAGGUAUAGCAUACCCUUU